ACAGUAUUUCAUUAGGAAACCUGUUAAGGUUCCCCUAUAUCUGCAACAGGAACGGUGGAGGAGCUUUCCUGAUCCCAUUCAUCUCGUUACUGCUCAUUACCGGGUUUCCAACGUUCUUCUUAGAAUCAAUGAUAUCUCAAUUCUCUGGAAAGGGUGCCAAACAAGUGUGGAGCUUCUGCCCUUUACUCAAAGGGAUUGGGGUUGGUGCAGUCGUAGUUGCAUGCUCCUUCAUGCCCUAUUACAACCUGUAUUUGGCCUGGCCCAUCUACUACAUGGUAAAGUCCUGCUCCAGCGUCCUGCCCUGGACAACUUGUGGCAACAGCUGGAACACCGACCUGUGUAUUGACGACAUGAAUACAACGUUUCGCAGUAACAUGACAACCUUGGCUGGGAAUACUUCAAACAUA